GUCCAAGUGGUUUCUCUCCCCCAAAGCCCGGAGCCUAUAGAGGCAGCCCCUUUGGUAAUAAUACUGUAAGAACUGAACACAGCCUGGAGAAGGAGAGAGAAAACAUCACUACAUUGGUUAUUCAGAAGUGUGUUUGAUAUUCCAGUAUUUACCAAACAAAAGUGUUUUCUUCUAAGCACAUAUGACACAAAAUUAAUUCAUCCCUUGAAUUAGCAAGAUGAAAACCUGCCCAAGUGAAGCUAUGGACACGAAGUCCCAUCCUGAACAUCUCUAAGCCACAUGCAGCACUGCC